GAUGAAGAACGCAGCGAAAUGCGAUACGUAAUGUGAAUUGCAAAUUCAGUGAAUCAUCGAGUCUUUGAACGCACAUUGCGCCCCCUGGUAUUCCGGGGGGCAUGCCUGUCCGAGCGUCAUUGCUGCCCUCAAGCACGGCUUGUGUGUUGGGCCCCGUCCUCCGAUCCCGGGGGACGGGCCCGAAAGGCAGCGGCGGCACCGCGUCCGGUCCUCGAGCGUAUGGGGCUUUGUCACCCGCUCUGUAGGCCCGGCCGGCGCUUGCCGAUCAACCCAAAUUUUUAUCCAGGUUGACCUCGGAUCAGGUAGGGAUACCCGCUGAACUUAAGCAUAUCAAUAAGCGGAA
rnacentral:misc_RNA from 1 species